rnacentral:lncRNA from 7 species
CCCGCCCUAUUUUGAUCCGCCUUGAUGGAUAGUUGAUCCACCAUGGGCCGGUCGUUUCAUAGAAAGCUGAUACAAGUUUAUCUCAAGUUUGUCUUUUUUUUUUUUGCCCUCCCCUUGUCGGAUUUUAACUAGUCAGAGAUUGAUGUUCAUCACGUCCAAUAAUUACAUACGUUUUCAAUUUGCUAACUCAAAUUUACAGAGUUGUUUGAGUGUAAAGAUUUUUAUUGGCUUCUAUUUAUCCUUUCUAUGGUCUACUGAUUGGAUCUUUUACUUGGUCCAUACGUUGGAGGUUUUGUUGGGUUGGAUCGUUCUUUUUCUCAAGCGGAUGUCGCAGUAUGAGACAAUAUCGCAGUACGCGACACUGAAGAGUUGGCCAAGGUGAUCAUUUUUAAUUCGCUAGGACACCCGGCACCCAGGCCUGAUGGCUUCUGUGGCUAAUUCUUCUGUGUCGCGUGGAAUGUGAUAAAAACUGGAACCCUCGGCGUCUUCAUUGUUAAGAAAACCUAGGCACGCAGUCUUUUGCUCCUAAAUAUUGGUCUGACGGUUCUAUUAAAAAACCAGCGUGGUCGACGGGCUUGAGAGAUUAUGAACAAUAAUAAGCCACAUACUCCAUUCGUUCUCUAUCUUAAGAUCACGAAAAUUUGUCCUAAAUUAAAGUUUUAAACUUUGAUAACAAUAUCUAUAAAAAUAAUUAUUUUAAAUUAAAGAAAUUAUAUAUUGUGGUAGAUGUUUUAAUAAUAAAUAUAAUAGUUUCGCUUUUAUCUAGUCAAUAUUUAUGAAUAUUUUUUUUU